rnacentral:tRNA from 1 species
AGUCCUUGGGAGGAACGUUUUCCCCCUUUUCUGGUUUACUACACCAAGCUAAGGUACGGCGCAACCUACCCUGGUCUUGCUAUACCUGGCAUCUGGUUCACGC